ACGCGUAUGAAGGACAAGCUGAAAGACUUUUCUCAAUGACGUAAGUGGUGGUGCAUGGUCGUUCUUAGUUCGUGGAGUGGUUUGUCUGGUCUAUUCCGAUAACGAGCGAGACCCCGGCGUUCCUAAUAGGGGCGGCAGCCCGGCUCGCGCCUUCGGGCGCUUGCUAGCAGCCGCCUCGCAAUUGCUUCUUAGACGGAUCAGAGCCGAUAAGGUUCUUGAAAUGGGUUAAUAACAGGUCAGUCAUGCCCUUAGAUGUUCUGGGCCGCACGCGCGUUACAAUGGUAGGCUUAAAGAGUGCCUUUUGCGGGCGUUUCCGCGGCCGACGGGUCGCGGUAACCCCUAGUCUCUCCCAUGACUGGGCCAGACUAUUGCAAUUAUUGGUCUCAAACGAGGAAGUUUUAGUAGGSGCAGGUCAUUAAC
rnacentral:rRNA from 1 species